UACAGAGGUCUCAAGCGUUGUUCGGAUUCAUUGGGCGUAAAGGGUGUGUAGGUGGCGCCGUAAGUCGGGUGUGAAAUUUCGGAGCUUAACUCCGAAACUGCAUUCGAUACUACCGUGCUUGAGGACUGGAGAGGAGACUGGAAUUUACGGUGUAGCGGUGAAAUGCGUAGAUAUCGUAAGGAAGACCAGUGGCGAAGGCGGGUCUCUGGACAGUUCCUGACGCUGAGGCACGAAGGUCAGGGGAGCAAACGGG
rnacentral:rRNA from 1 species